GCCGCGCUCCGGGACUCUGAGGACACCAUGGCUAGCCGCCGGAGGCGGGAGUCGGCGUGGGCUGAGAUCACUCUGGAGAAGAAAGCCCCCAUGUCAUGAAGACAAUCAUGCAGCUUUACAGAGAGAUCCACGUAGUGAGGAACUGGAGUCUCCUGCAACUCGCAAGUCAUGCUGAGGAAGCUGUUCAAUAGCCAAGGAGGCAUUUUUUCCUGAAGAGGAUAGUGGAAAAGAAAGGACCUCCUAGAAGAUGAAGUCAAGAGUCACAAAGGACAAUAGACUAUGAACAUACCUCCAGGAAACAAAACUGAAGAUUAAGUUUUCUACACUA